CAAAGGUAAGCGAGCGCUCCUCAGCACGCACCAACACGUUAGCACACUUGAAAGACGGAUCCUGUGGUAUUGAUGAGUGAUUGGUGAUCUAUCAGCAUGUCGCUGUACGCGUCUCAGAUGAAAGCGUUUAAGAGCGCAGAGCCCAAGACACUUGGCGCUAUUGAGAUCAUAAUGGGAGUGUUUACUGUCAUUUUGAGCUCUAUUGUUUAUAAGCUGCACUACCAUAUCCAGCGUGAAAUCAUCAUCCUCAUCGUCAAUGGU